GAUAGAGCUGGCUCAGAGAAAGAGUCUGUGCUCAUGGGACUGAAGAUUGGACACAGAACUGAGCAUAAAGCCUCAUUAAGGAAAACAAAGGCAAGAAACAGGAGCCAGGGGUUGAAGAUGGGCUGAAGUUAAUCGGAAAUCUGGUUUCGUAAACAGGAACAAGGGAAGGGCAGUGCCCAGGAAUUCUGGGGGAUGCUCUUUUCAGCUGUAGCCACCUGUUAUUAUUGCUCACAUUCUCCAGGUACAGAGGAAGCCAUGUCCAGAGUGCCCUAAAGAAAUUCAGUAGCUUCUGACCAAAUGCCAGAUGGAUUCCUGGAUAAACAUCCUUGUCAAGACGGCACUACUGCUCCAGUAUCUGCUGUCUGGACCAGCGAGUCUCCUGACUGCCGUGAGGCCCUUCUCCCAGGAACUCUGGCUUAUUGAGAUCACAAGUUCUCUGGUGUAGCUGCCCAGAUAACUGCUUGUGACUAGAUUUAACACAGACUACGAUGUGCCAUGUCUCAUGGAAAGUUUUCAAGACUUCUGCCCCUCUGUGGAUCUCCCUAAUACUGGGCUGACUUGUCAGUGAGGGAACAAUAAGGGCUCUAACAAUGCGGGAAGCCAAACAGCGGAGUUUCCCCUGCAGCCCAUGGCAUUGGUUUUAGCCAGCUUCUACUGCAGCUGUUUAAUCAGCGAGAUGUUUAUGAUCUGACCCUCAUCUCGUCCUGUGACUUGGAAUGCCUAACCAUCCGGAAAUGCGGCUGCCCGGUAAGUCUCAGCCUGAUUUUACCCAGCUCCUAUUCAAGAUGGAGUUGCUCUGGUUCAAACGCCUCUGACAUUUCCAUAUAGAUUUGUUUUGAAUCCUGGCUCCAUGAUCUGCUAGCUGAGUGACACUUUGCCGAUGACAUUACCCCAUUGUACCUCAGUUUCCUUAUCUGAAAAAUAGGAAUAACAGUGCUGGUCUCUUAAAAUUAAGAUUAUUGGAGGAAUACAUAAAGUAACACUUGAAAAAUGCU